GGAAAAAGUUGGUUUUUCCCUUUUGACCUUUGGGUUGACCGGCAAAGGUAAACAACUUUUGCAAAGUGUGGAUUGGACUUUGUGGCCAUAUAUUGAAAAUGUAUUAAAUCUUAGAAAAUCUUCUUCCCUACUACAAUGUUUAUUUGAGAAAAACUAAAUGCCUGGUUAUAAUGUCCAUGAAGUCUUCUACUUAAAUUAUGAAAUUCAGAGCUCCUGGGUCGGGGUUCAGACGAAAGGGCAAUAGUGGGUUCCUAAUAGAUCGAAUAGUGAGUAUAUAGUCCCAACAUGUUCAAAGUCGUGUCAUUUACGAGGUUUUGUAGAAUGCUUCAAGAAAACGGUAAUUGGGUUGUCAUGAUUUCAUUUAUGAAAUUCAAAAUUACCGUUCAUAGCUGUUAAAAUAUGUGUUGCAAAUACUCAAUAAGAAAAAAAACUAAUCAUGGUUAAAUGACAUAAUGAAAUAUGUUCAAAUAAAAAUAAAAUAGGUUUUAUAAUUUG
rnacentral:misc_RNA from 1 species